ACUCCUGCAAAAGCAGAACCACCCUGAAUUCGUUAC
rnacentral:rRNA from 1 species